rnacentral:rRNA from 1 species
GACGAACGCUGGCGGCGUGCUUAACACAUGCAAGUCGAACGGAAAGGCCCUGCUUUUGUGGGGUGCUCGAGUGGCGAACGGGUGAGUAACACGUGAGUAACCUGCCCUUGACUUUGGGAUAACUUCAGGAAACUGGGGCUAAUACCGGAUAGGAGCUCCUGCUGCAUGGUGGGGGUUGGAAAGUUUCGGCGGUUGGGGAUGGACUCGCGGCUUAUCAGCUUGUUGGUUGGGUAGUGGCUUACCAAGGCUUUGACGGGUAGCCGGCCUGAGAGGGUGACCGGCGACAUUGGGACUGAGAUACGGCCCAGACUCCUACGGGAGGCAGCAGUGGGGAAUAUUGCACAAUGGGCGGAAGCCUGAUGCAGCAACGCCGCGUGCGGGAUGACGGCCUUCGGGUUGUAAACCGCUUUCGCCUGUGACGAAGCGUGAGUGACGGUAAUGGGUAAAGAAGCACCGGCUAACUACGUG